ensembl:snRNA U6 U6 spliceosomal RNA
AUACUCACUCUAGUAACACCUAUACUAAAAUUAGAAUUAUACAGAGAAGAUUAGCAUGGCCCCUGCACAAGGAUGACAUGCAAAUUCAUGGAGUGUUCCAUAUUUUU